rfam:Stegodyphus mimosarum contig126571, whole genome shotgun sequence.
GCCUUCGUGGUGUAGUGCUCAGCACGCUGGGUGCGUAUUCCAGGGGUCCGUGGUUCGAGUCCCGGCGAAGGCG